rnacentral:sRNA from 1 species
UGGUUUCCGUGACUAUCACUUGCAUAA